AUUGAACGCUGGCGGCAGGCCUAACACAUGCAAGUCGAGCGGUUGACGGGAGCUUGCUCCCUGAUUCAGCGGCGGACGGGUGAGUAAUGCCUAGGAAUCUGCCUAUUAGUGGGGGACAACGUUUCGAAAGGAACGCUAAUACCGCAUACGUCCUACGGGAGAAAGCAGGGGACCUUAGGGCCUUGCGAUAAUAGAUGAGCCUAGGUCGGAUUAGCUUGUUGGUGAGGUAAUGGCUCACCAAGGCGACGAUCCGUAACUGGUCUGAGAGGAUGAUCAGUCACACUGGAACUGAGACACGGUCCAGACUCCUACGGGAGGCAGCAGUGGGGAAUAUUGGACAAUGGGCGAAAGCCUGAUCCAGCCAUGCCGCGUGUGUGAAGAAGGUCUUCGGAUUGUAAAGCACUUUAAGUUGGGAGGAAGGGUUGUAGAUUAAUACUCUGCAAUUUUGACGUUACCGACAGAAUAAGCACCGGCUAACUCUGUGCCAGCCGCCGCGGUAAGAC
rnacentral:rRNA from 1 species